rfam:Triticum aestivum genome assembly, contig: Triticum_aestivum_CS42_TGACv1_scaffold_405945_5BL
UGUGUACUCCCUCCAUUCCAAAAUACUUGACUUCCAUUUUUCCAAAAAUGGAUGUACCUAUAUACUAAAACAUGUCUAGAUACAUCUAUAUUUUGACAAAUAGAAGGCAUGUAUUGUGGAACGGAGUGAAUAGAAU